ACGGGAGGCAGCAGUGGGGAAUUUUGCGCAAUGGGGGCAACCCUGACGCAGCAACGCCGCGUGCGGGACGAAGGCCUUCGGGUCGUAAACCGCUUUCAGCAGGGAAGACAGCGACGGUACCUGCAGAAGAAGCCCCGGCUAACUACGUGCCAGCAGCCGCGGUAAUACGUAGGGGGCGAGCGUUAUCCGGAAUCAUUGGGCGUAAAGAGCGCGUAGGCGGCCCCUCAAGCGGGAUCUCUAAUCCGAGGGCUCAACCCCCGGCCGGAUCCCGAACUGGGGGGCUCGGGUGCGGUAGAGGAGGAUGGAAUUCCCGGUGUAGCGGUGGAAUGCGCAGAUAUCGGGAAGAACACCGAUGGCGAAGGCAGUCCUCUGGGCCGCCACCGACGCUGAGGCGCGAAAGCCGGGGGAGCGAACAGGAUUAGAUACCCUGGUA
rnacentral:rRNA from 2 species